GAAAAAGGAAACCCAGGGAAAGCUGGGGAGAUACUGAUGCUGCAGGAUCACAGCACGGGGAAAAGAGAACCAAGGGAGCUGCAGUCACCAGUGCCAUAUGGAGUUGCUGAAGAAGUCAGGACUGAGAGAGCAAAGGCGGUCUGACCUGGACAAGAAGGCGAAGAAAGAGCUGACUCAGAGGGAGCUUCGCAGGACUUGGAGUGGGGCUGGACCCACCUGGGAAGAAAAG
rnacentral:lncRNA from 1 species